rfam:Nasonia vitripennis chromosome 4, whole genome shotgun sequence.
GUAGACGUUAGCUCAGUGGUUAGAGCACAGGCUUCUGGCUCUCGGGUCCGCGAGUUCGAGUCCCGUCGUCUGCU